rnacentral:tRNA from 1 species
CGGGGUGUAGCGAAGCCCGGUUAUCGCGCCACGUUCGGGACGUGGAGGCCGGCAGUUCGAAUCUGCCCACCCCGA